GCCCAGAUGGUGAAAUUGGUAGACACGCCAGCUUGAGGGGCUGGUGACCGAUUAUGGUCGUGCAAGUUCGAGUCUUGUUCUGGGCA
rnacentral:tRNA from 1 species